CUAGAGAUAGAGCUUCCCCUUCGGGGGCAAAGUGACAGGUGGUGCAUGGUUGUCGUCAGCUCGUGUCGUGAGAUGUUGGGUUAAGUCCCGCAACGAGCGCAACCCUUAUUGUUAGUUGCCAUCAUUCAGUUGGGCACUCUAGCAAGACUGCCGGUGACAAACCGGAGGAAGGUGGGGAUGACGUCAAAUCAUCAUGCCCCUUAUGACCUGGGCUACACACGUGCUACAAUGGGAAGUACAACGAGUYGCGAAGUCGCGAGGCUAAGCUAAUCUCUUAAAGCUUCUCUCAGUUCGGAUUGCAGGCUGCAACUCGCCUGCAUGAAGCCGGAAUCGCUAGUAAUCGCGGAUCAGCACGCCGCGGUGAAUACGUUCCCGGGCCUUGUACACACCGCCCGUCACACCACGAGAGUUUGUAACACCCGAAGUCGGUGAGGUAACCUUUUGGAGCCAGCCGCCUAAGGUGGGAUAGAUGAUUGGGGUGAAGUCGUAACAAGGUAGCCGUAUCGGAAGGUGCGGCUGGAUCACCUCCUUUCUAAGGAA
rnacentral:rRNA from 1 species